CAGGUCGGGGCUAUUGAAUGCCGCCGCCUGUCUGCGUACCAUAGCGCCCAUGGUUGUAAUUCCGGCAACCCGGAGGCGUUCUGGACAGGGGUUCGAUUCCCCUCACCUCCACCCAAGUGCAUUUCAUGCUGUCGCUAGUGUGUUUGGGUGGGGGUGUACUGGUUUCGACAGGGCGGGCAAAGGUGCGCAGGCAACCCGAGAGGCGACGGACGUAAUCCGCGCAAAACCACAAACGCCAACGAUGAGCGUUUCGCAGUCGCUGCAUAAGCACUGCCGGGGCCGCUGAAGCCUUGUAACCCAAGACAGCCGAUGGGGACUUCGGUCCCCAUCGUCA
rnacentral:tmRNA from 1 species